UCAAGUGAAUAAGUGCACACGGUGGAUGCCUUGGCGACAACAGGCGAAGAAGGACGUGGAAAUCUGCGAAAAGCCCCGGGAAGCUGAUAACAAGCAAUGAUCCGGGGAUCUCCGAAUGGGGCAACCCGACCUUAGGGUCAUCCGUAGUUGAAUACAUAGACUGCGGAAGCGAACCGGGAGAACUGAAACAUCUAAGUACCCCGAGGAAAAGAAAUCAACCGAGAUUCCGCAAGUAGCGGCGAGCGAACGCGGAGAAGCCCAAUUAAGUUGCGUAUGAGUUAGUAGAACAUCCUGGGAAGGGUGGCCAUAGAGGGUGAUAGCCCCGUAUACGAAAGCCAUACACAAUGAAUCGAGUAGGGCGGGACACGUGAAAUCCUGUCUGAACAUGGGGGGACCAUCCUCCAAGGCUAAAUACUCGUUGUCGACCGAUAGUGAACCAGUACCGUGAGGGAAAGGCGAAAAGAACCCUGGUGAAGGGAGUGAAAUAGAACCUGAAACCGUGUGCAUACAAGCAGUCAGAGCAUAUAAAGAUAUGUGAUGGCGUACCUUUUGUAUAAUGGGUCAGCGAGUUACAUUCAGUGGCGAGGUUAACCGGAUAGGGGAGCCGUAGCGAAAGCGAGUCUUAAGAGGGCGACAAGUCUCUGGGUGUAGACCCGAAACCGGGCGAUCUACAGGAGACACACGGCGGGUGCUAACGUCCGUCGUGAAGAGGGAAACAACCCAGACCGCCAGCUAAGGUCCCGAAAUGACAGUUCAGUGGGAAACGAAGUGGGAAGGCUUAGACAGCUAGGAGGUUGGCUUAGAAGCAGCCAUCCUUUAAAGAAAGCGUAAUAGCUCACUAGUCGAGUCGUCCUGCGCGGAAGAUUUACCGGGGCUAAACUGUCUACCGAAGCUGCGGAUUUGCAUGAAGAUGCAAGUGGUAGGGGAGCGUUGUGUAAGCCGAAGAAGGUGUGUUGAGAAGCAUGCUGGAGGUAUCACAAGUGCGAAUGCUGACAUGAGUAACGAUAAUGCGGGUGAAAAACCUGCACACCGAAAACCCAAGGUUUCCUGCGCAACGCUAAUCGGCGCAGGGUGAGUCGGCCCCUAAGGCGAGGCGGAAACGCGUAGUCGAUGGGAAACAGGUUAAUAUUCCUGUACUGAUCAUAAUUGCGAUGGGGGGACGGAGAAAGCUAGGCCAGCACACUGUUGGAUGUGUGUUUAAGCGCGUAGGUUGGGGAUUUAGGCAAAUCCGGGUUCCUAAGACUGAAACGUGAUGACGAGUUUCUACGGAAACGAAGUGGUUGAUGCUCUGCUUCCAGGAAAAGCCUCUAAGCUUCAGAUUAUGACAACCGUACCCCAAACCGACACAGGUGGGUAGGAAGAGAAUUCCAAGGUGCUUGAGAGAACUCGGGUAAAGGAACUCGGCAAAAUGAUACCGUAACUUCGGGAUAAGGUAUGCCUCUGAUGGUGAAUAGCUGUUGGAGGCCGCAGAGAAUAGGCCGCUGCGACUGUUUAUCAAAAACACAGCACUCUGCAAACACGCAAGUGGACGUAUAGGGUGUGACGCCUGCCCGGUGCCGGAAGGUUAAUUGAUGGGGUGCAAGCUCUUGAUCGAAGCCCCGGUAAACGGCGGCCGUAACUAUAACGGUCCUAAGGUAGCGAAAUUCCUUGUCGGGUAAGUUCCGACCUAGACGGAAAGACCCCGUGAACCUUCACUACAGCUUGACACUGAACAUUGAAAUAAGUUGCAUAGGAUAGGUGGGAGGCUUUGAAGCAGAGACUCUGGUUUCUGUGGAGCCGACCUUGAAAUACCACCCUGCUUAUUUUGAUGUUCUAACGUAGACCCGUAAUCCGGGUUGCAGACAGUGUCUGGUGGGUAGUUUGACUGGGGCGGUCUCCUCCCAAAGAGUAACGGAGGAGUGCGAAGGUGGGCUCGGUGCGGUCGGAAAUCGCACCAAGAGUGCAAAGGCAGAAGCCCGCUUAACUGCGAGACAGACAAGUCGAGCAGAUACGAAAGUAGGUCUUAGUGAUCCGGUGGUUCUGAAUGGAAGGGCCAUCGCUCAACGGAUAAAAGGUACUCCGGGGAUAACAGGCUGAUUCCUCCCAAGAGUCCAUAUCGACGGAGGAGUUUGGCACCUCGAUGUCGGCUCAUCACAUCCUGGGGCUGUAGCAGGUCCCAAGGGUAUGGCUGUUCGCCAUUUAAAGUGGUACGCGAGCUGGGUUCAGAACGUCGUGAGACAGUUCGGUCCCUAUCUGCCGUGGGCGUUGGAGAUUUGAGGGAAGCUGUUCUUAGUACGAGAGGACCGGAAUGGACGAACCUCUGGUGUACCGGUUGUCACGCCAGUGGCACAGCCGGGUAGCUAUGUUCGGAAGGGAUAACCGCUGAAAGCAUCUAAGCGGGAAGCCCCUCCCAAGAUAAGAUCUCCCUAGACCUUAAAGGUCUCUAAAGAUCCGUUGAAGACUACGACGUUGAUAGGCUCCAUGUGGAAGUGUAGUAAUACAUGCAGCUAAGGAGUACUAAUUGAUCGUGAGGCUUGAUCAU
rnacentral:rRNA from 1 species